CAGGCAUAGUCUUGGCAGCACCAAAUGUGAAGAAGACAAGAGAGCCUUUGUGUUCCAGGUAUGGUGAGGGUAUAUGUCCAUACGGGAGUAAGCCGAUCUGCGGCACGGAUGGAUAUACCUAUGGAAAUGAAUGUCAGCUCUGCCAGGAGAAUCGGGAGAGGACAAAUGAGGUCCAGAUCAAAGAUGAAGGUCCCUGUCCGCCAUCUGCCCAGCAGCAGAGAAGGAUGAAGAUGAAGCUGUGACCAUUGAUGGCACCAUUUUGACUGCAGGGGAGGAUGCCAAGUCCGGUCCAUACCGGCAGUGAAGCGACCUCAUGUAGCUGCUGACUGAUUAAGUAUGGCGCGUCCACGGACAAGUGUGGAUUCCGAAUCAAUGUAGAGAAUGUAUC